ensembl:lncRNA
GGAUGGUAUCGAUCAAGGUUUUCCACACAGGAGAACCCUCAGGGCUUCUUGCAAAACGUGCAGCAGGGUGUUAGGAACCUCCACCACAAAUGAAAAUGGAAACACACGUCUCGCAAGUUCACCUUCAGAUCUUCACAGUCCGUUGUAUGUCCAAUGUGAUUUGAAGGAUUUCCCUCCACAAUUCCUUAUCGGACCAAAGUCGAAUGCUAUUGUGUCUCUAUCGGAAAAGUUAUACUUCAAACCUUAAAAUCAAACACAUGGUCUUUACUUUGGGAUAAGACUGCUGUUUAAGGCCAGUGAGUAGAGCUCCUGACAGCUGAACACCAGUGCGUGUCCGAAGCCGCAUUCCCAAACUGUUGGAAUUCUUUAUUUGUCCUCGACCCAGACGCCGAAAGCUCUUCAAACAGGAUACGGAGCUCCCUCCCUGCGACAGCCUCGCAUGCCACUGGAGAAAGAAAAGGAGAAGAAAGCGGCUGAGAGAGAUAGAGUACGAGAAGAAAAAAAACGAGCAAGGGAGAGCGAGAGAGCUGGAGAGGACAGUUUCGCUGUGCAGCUGCUCCCGUGGAUGUUUUUGGAUUACAUCAGUGCUCUGCCAAAGAAAGGAGCGAAGGACAGAUAGACAAGGGAUCAGAGAGAGAAGGGAGCGGGGCACACUCCACAAAUCAGGGCUCUUAGUUUGGGAGGGGGGCCCCGGCUCGGUUCUUGGAGUUCUCUCGGACAGAGCUGUCAUUGUUAGAAGGUUGAAGUGGGUAAAGCCAGGGCUGAAUAGUGCAGCAGGCCCCCCUCGUCACCACCGUGCCCCCCCAUCUACAUCCUGACAACACAGCAGCAGCAACUCAACCUUGCCCUGUCAGCUGCCUGCGCCUGAGCCCCACGCCACGGCCCCGCGCCUGAGCUUGGCAUGCAGCUGAGAUUACAUUGCUCUGGGCACACACUCCUGCUUCGUCUUUGGAAUUAAUACUUACACAUCUCUGUUUGGGCAGCAGGCACAAGGCAUUGAGGCUGUCAAACAGAAAGAGAGAAAAGGGGGGACCAAGAAAUAUACAGAAGAGUGUAAAAGGGCUUUUUGUUGCUUUUAAACAUCAUUAGGUUUCACUUUCUAGUGUAGUUUCAAAAUGUUUUCAGGUGUUCUGGUGGUGGUUUUGGUUCUAUUACUGCUGUUUCGCAGGGUUUUAUGGCAUGUUAUCUGUCUUUUCAUUGGUGAUAAACUGUUCAGGAAAAAGCCAAGAGCCAGGAGAGAGAGGGACUUGUCAGAGUAGAAGUCACUUUGAGGACAGUAUGUUUUUUUUUAAUGCAUCAUCUUGAAUGUAAUUUAGGACAAAUUUGAGCAAAAGUUUAAUUUUUCCAUUCACAAUCUUUUUGAAUACUCCUACUAAUCAUCAUCAUCAUCCCCCCAGGUGGGCACACAGUGGCUUAGUGGUUAGCAUGUUUGCCUCACACCGACAGGGUUGGGGGUUCGAUUCCCGCCGCUACCCUGUGUGUGCAGUGUUUGCAUGUUCUCCCCGUGCUGUGGGGGUUUCCUCUGGGUACUCUGGUUUCCUCCCCCAGUCCAAAGACAUGCAGGGUAGGCUGUUUGGCAUGUACAAAGUGUCCACUGUGUAUAAGUGGGUGUUUGACUGUGUAUGUAUGCCCUGCGAUGGAUUGGCAACCUGUCCAGGGUGUACCCUGCCUUAUGCCCGGCUCCAGGUUCCCCACAACACUGAAGGAUAAGCUGUAUAGAAGAUGGAUGGAUCAUCACAGAUUGUGAUUUCAUGUUGCUUAAUAAUUUGUACACCUUUUAAACAAUCAGAUGAAAUGAUGAAACAAGCCACUGAGAUUAAAGGCUGAUGUGGUUCCCAGAAACAUUUAGAGAUGGCUUCCUUAAUGAACUCACUUUAGUGGUAAAGAUAAUGGUUAAAUAAAUCACUGAGAAUAUAACAAAAAAGCAUAUCAAAACGUGUAUUUGAUAUGGGCUGGUUUACUAGCAGUUAGAUAGUCUGCUAGCUAAAUUAGCAACUAUUUGUUUUAUUUUUAUAUGUGGAAUGACAGAACGACACAGGAUUUUUCCAAUAUUCAUAUUCAUACAUCCUGGCAUUUUAAUUUUAAUAGGAGCUCAUUUGUCAUUAGGUUGUUUUUGUAGCUUAUUAUUAGGAAUACAUAAUUCUACACAGAAUAAUACAAUUUAUUGACUCUAUAAUAAUUUAUAUUGUACUCAUGGGUGUUUUAAAAUACAUCUUAUAUCUCUUGAAGCUCACUCUGUCACAAGUCCUGAAGUCUUGCUGUCUUAUAUGUGUGAUAUGCUUUAAAUGCAAAUCAUUGUAAUUUCUUGUUGGCACUAAAUAAAU